GAGGGUAGGGCUAGUGGUUGGGGUAGAGGUAGGGGUAGGGUUAGGUCUAGGGUUAAGGCUUGGGGUAGGGUUAGUGGUUGGGUUAGGGGUUGGGGUAGGGUUAGUGGUUGGAGUAGGGUUAGGGGUAGGGUUAGGGUAGGGUAACCCUAACCCUAUUCCUAACUCUACCCCUAACCCUACUCCUACCCCUAACCCUACUUUAACCCUAACCCUAAACCAACCCUAAUCCUACCCUAACCCUACUACUACCCUUAACCAUUCCCUAACCCUACAUGUAACCCUAACCCUAUGUCUAACCCUACCCCUAACCCUACCCUUACCCGAAGUGCCAAAGUG